rnacentral:rRNA from 1 species
CCAAUAGCGUAUAUUAAAGUUGUUGCAGUUAAAAAGCUCGUAGUUGAAUUUCGGGAUUAAUAUGUUGGUCGUGCCUUGGUACGUACUGGCAUUAUUGGUUCCUACCUUCUGAAGAACCUCGAUGUCAUUAAUUUGGUGUCUUGGGGAAUCAGGACUGUUACUUUGAAAAAAUUAGAGUGUUUAAAGCAAGCUAACGCUUGAAUACAUUAGCAUGGAAUAAUGAAAUAGGACGUUCGAUCCUAUUUUGUUGGUUUCUAGGAUUGACGUAAUGAUUAAUAGGGAUAGUUGGGGGCAUUAGUAUUCAAUUGUCAGAGGUGAAAUUCUUGGAUUUAUUGAAGACUAACUACUGCGAAAGCAUUUGCCAAGGAUGUUUUCAUUAAUCAAGAACGAAAGUUAGGGGAUCGAAGACGAUCAGAUACCGUCGUAGUCUUAACCAUAAACUAUGCCGACUAGGGAUCGGAUGAUGUUAAUUUUUUAAUGACUCAUUCGGCGCCUUACG